AUGACAACAAAAAUUGUUACUACCGGUCUCAACACAGAGCACACAAAGCUAGCACUAAUCAAUUUGAGUACUACUGAUUAUUGGACGGAGAAUGCCAAGUUAGAAAGAGCCAAUCGAAGAAGCUUGCUCUUGCCGCCGCUGAUGCUUCUCUUGCUGCUUGCCGAACUGGCUGCUCCUUGGUUGGUGCUGCUACCUCCCAGGUGUGUGGAUGCCAUCGGCCGGCUAGCUGCCGGGAAGGAGACGAGCCGAGCCGACCGCCACUUAUCUGCUCUGCUUCCCAACAAAUCGGCCGCAUCUGACCUGCCAUCAUUGCUGCUGGGUGAGAGGAACGGGAGGAGGGAGCAAUCAGCUGCUGCUUGA
rnacentral:rRNA from 1 species